CUUGCUCUCAAAACUAUCGUAUUUCAGGCAAUAAAUUAUAUAUUUACCCAUGACAGCAAAAUUGCUAAUGCCUGGCUACAAGCUGCUCUGUCCAUUUGAUUCAUAGGAGACAUAGCCUUUUAUAUUCUGGGAAUAGAUUUGGGUCCACUGAAGUCCUUUCUCUCCAACCUGCACAUCUUCUUAAAUCUCCUUUUCUUGAUCAAAUGUAAAAAUGCCCGGUGAAGUAAUUUUGAUUACUAAGUAGUCAGACAUCUAACUCAAGAAUGGGAUGUGUAUAUUUGCUUUACUUCGUUUCCUUUGUUUUGUUUGGGAGUGUUGAAAUUUGUUCAUUUGUCUUUUGGGCACCUCAUUCAUUGGGAGAAUUCCAACAGCAUUUUCUCAUUCUCUAGAUUCAUCCUCUGUGUAGACCUGGUAACAGUUCUGAUAUCAGAGAGAGGAACUCUUUCUCAGACCCAUUAAGGAGGCCCAGCUCCUAAGUUUCUGAGUGGCUUUUGAAAAGUUAAACUGUAAGAGAUGAUAAAACAUGGUGGGAGAAGUUUCUUUUAAAAGGACACUUGAAAGUAUAUGUGUUGUUGAGUGAAUACAGGUUUUUUUUUUCAUCAAGAAAGUAAGUUUCUUGUGAGUCUUUUUAUGGAAUAUGGAUAUAGAAUUUGUGUUAUCUUUAAAACUUGAUUAACAUCAAAAUUCAAAUAGUAAAACUUUUAAUGAAGUCAGAAGUGUUUCACUACCAGUUAUCUUUUGGUAAUUUAAUGGUACUUCUUGCUAACAAGACAUGAACAUUUCAAUAUGUCAAUAUGCACUUUUAUUAUAAUCAUGGAAAAUCAGUAUUUAAAUAGUCAGUGAUGAAUUAUAAUGUCUAAAGUCAGAAAGUAUCCAAACUACAAGCUUAAAAAUAUCUUUUUUCUUUUCGAAUGUCUGUGAUGUAGCUGGGAAUAAUCGAAAUGUAUGCAAGGAAAAUGUGAUGAUUUCGAGCUCUUAAAAGAUGAUCCAUGUGUCUCCUUUUAAAUUACUUUCUCACAACAUUCUCUGCUGUUAUAAAUAUUCCCAGCCAUCACUGACCCAUAAUCUUAUCAAUAUUGUCGGUUAUUUCAACUAUAUAUUACUUUUAAAUACUAGACACCUACUUUAGCAUUUUUUCAAAUGCUAAAAGAUAAAUUAUAAUAAUUAAUCUAUUCCUUUUCUAAUCUAAGGUUUUCUUCUUCCUUUGCUGAGUCCCAUAUUACAGAGAUAGAAUUGUUUCUAAAUGAUUUCUUAUAGAAUUUUGAGUCCCAUUUAAGUUUUCCAG
rnacentral:lncRNA from 1 species